AGCAGUAGCCACGGGAAUACGAAGGGUGCAAGCGUUACUCGGAAUUACUGGGCGUAAAGCGUGCGUAGGUGGUGGUUUAAGUCCGUUGUGAAAGCCCUGGGCUCAACCUGGGAAUUGCAGUGGAUACUGGGUCACUAGAGUGUGGUAGAGGAUGGUGGAAUUCCCGGUGUAGCGGUGAAAUGCGUAGAGAUCGGGAGGAACAUCAGUGGCGAAGGCGGCCAUCUGGGACAACACUGACGCUGAGGCACGAAAGCGUGGGGAGCAAACAGGAUUAGAUACCCCAGUAGUCCCUGUCUCUUAUAC
rnacentral:rRNA from 1 species